AUCCGGAUGACGAGUCUCAAAAAUGGACAAAACGCGCGUCCUGGAU
rnacentral:hammerhead_ribozyme from 1 species